GACGAAGGUGGCAAGCGUUGUUCGGAUUCACUGGGCAUAAAGGGCGCGUAGGCGGUUCCGAAAGUGGCAUGUGAAAUCCCCCGGCUCAACCGGGGAAGUGCGUGCCAAACUUCGGUGCUAGAGGGCGGUAGGGGGGACUGGAACUCUCGGUGGAGCGGUGAAAUGCGUAGAUAUCGAGAGGAACGACCGGUGGCGAAGGCGAGUCCCUGGUCCGCUUCUGACGCUGAGGCGCGAAAGCGUGGGUAGCAAACAGG
rnacentral:rRNA from 1 species